ACAAAGGCGAACAAGUUUUAAAGCGGAGCUGGGAAAUGUUUUGUUUGAAACAAAAGUCACAUACGGGAAUGUUGUGCGACCAAUAAGCAGGCGGCAGGUUUAUUUUGAAAGGCUGACUGCGCAUGGCUACAGUCAAUAUGGAAACAUUAAGGAGAGAAUUAGCAAACAAAUUGUGGGCACGUCAGGAAACGGCGGACUCCGGCGCGGAUUUACCGCACGGGAGGCUCGUGCCAUAACUUUACGGUCGAAAACCCGCACAGUAAACUGACCGGACAGGAGCCAAUGGGAGCUCGAGAUCAUUGCUGUCACGUUCGGAACUGGCUGAAAACUGAGCACCGUAGUCCCGCCCACCAUUGACUUUGUUCACAGGACUGCUGGAAGGAGGAGGUCACAGACAUGGAAGCAGUGGAAAGUUUGGGUGGGGAAUGCCUCGUUUUCUCUUCACCUGGAUAUCUCUUACUUAAGCUGCCCUCUACAACACUGCACAAGGAGGAACUGUUUCACUACAGGCUGCAAAAAAAACCAACAACACAACAACCCCCCCACGCACACUUUGUUUGAUUGCAGAUGUGUUUAGAGUUCUGGCUAAGGUCUUUAUUAGUUAUUAUACGUUUCACUGAAUAUUAGAAUUUUCUUUUGGAGAUGUAAAAUCUACACUUAUAAAACUUUAAGAUGGUGUAAAUAUGCACAUAUGUUUUCAUUAUAUGAAUUUGUUAUGAUAAUGAAGAUACAAAACAUAUAUAUGUGAACUGAAUUACUGUUUAUAAUAAUAAAGUUUAAGCACCUCAUCUAACAUAA